rnacentral:rRNA from 1 species
CGCGUAGGCGGUCUGGUAAGUCCCGUGUGAAAUCCCUCGGCUCAACUGAGGAAUGGCACGGGAAACUGCUUGGCUUGAGUUCGGGAGAGGGAAGCGGAAUUCCGGGUGUAGCGGUGAAAUGCGUAGAUAUCCGGAGGAACACCGGUGGCGAAGGCGGCUUCCUGGACCGACACUGACGCUGAGGCGCGAAAGCUAGGGGAGCAAACG